UUAAAAGUUCGAACACCAAACCCUGGUAAGUUCAUCUUGACAAAAACUCAUCUCCCAUAUUUGUUCCUUUUUCGUAGGAUGAAGUUAAGACAAGAUGCACAAGUUCAUAUUUUCUAUGCUUUUCAGUUCAUCUACUUCCCGAUGGGGUUCUUCGGUGGAGGUUCAACAAAAUGACCAGCAUCAGUUCAUGCCUCCAUCCACCACGCCAUCAGGAACACGAUUGGGCCAGGGGAGAAGGCAGAAUCUCUGGGUGCAUGAUUGAAAAAAUUGCAAGUUCUUGUUUAG